UGGGGAAUUUUGCACAAUGGGCGCAAGCCUGAUGCAGCGACGCCGCGUGAGGGAUGAAGGCCUUCGGGUUGUAAACCUUUUUCGCUCAUGGUCAAGCCGCAGCUUUGGGUUGUGGUGAGGGUAGUGGGUAAAGAAGCGCCGGCUAACUACGUGCCAGCAGCCGCGGUAAUACGUAGGGCGCGAGCGUUGUCCGGCAUUAUUGGGCGUAAAGGGCUUGUAGGCGGUUGGCCGCGUCUGCCGUGAAAUCCUCUGGCUUAACUGGGGGCGUGCGGUGGGUACGGGUUGACUUGAGUGCGGUAGGGGAGACUGGAAUUCCUGGUGUAGCGGUGGAAUGCGCAGAUAUCAGGAGGAACACCGGUGGCGAAGGCGGGUCUCUGGGCCGUUACUGACGCUGAGGAGCGAAAGCGUGGGGAGCGAACAGG
rnacentral:rRNA from 1 species